UAACUACUCCCUCCGUCCGGAGAAACUUGUCCCUCAAAUGAAUAUAUCUAGCACCAAGUUAGUGCUAGAUACAUUCAUUUAAGGAACAAGUUUGGGACAAGCUAUUUUGGAUGAAGGGAGUACCAA
rfam:Triticum urartu cultivar G1812 contig1451240, whole genome shotgun sequence.